CAAUAGCGUAUAUUUAAGUUGUUGCAGUUAAAAAGCUCGUAGUUGGAUUUCGGGUUGGCUUCUGCGGUCUCGCUUUGCGUUUGUACUGCUGCAGCCUACCUUCUUGUCGGGGACGGGCUUUCGGGCUUAAUUGCUUGGGGCCCGGAGUCGACGAUGUUACUUUGAGUAAGUUAGAGUGUUCAAAGCAAGCCUACGCUCUGAAUAUAAUAGCAUGGGAUAACACGACAGGACUCUGGCCUAUCGUGUUGGUCUGUAGGACCAGAGUAAUGAUUAAGAGGGACAGUCGGGGGCAUUCGUAUUCCGUUGUCAGAGGUGAAAUUCUUGGAUUUACGGAAGACGAACAUCUGCGAAAGCAUUUGCCAAGGAUGUUUUCAUUGA
rnacentral:rRNA from 1 species